GUGGGGAAUAUUGGACAAUGGGCGAAAGCCUGAUCCAGCCAUGCCGCGUGUGUGAAGAAGGUCUUCGGAUUGUAAAGCACUUUAAGUUGGGAGGAAGGGCAGUAAGUUAAUACCUUGCUGUUUUGACGUUACCGACAGAAUAAGCACCGGCUAACUUCGUGCCAGCAGCCGCGGUAAUACGAAGGGUGCAAGCGUUAAUCGGAAUUACUGGGCGUAAAGCGCGCGUAGGUGGUUUUGUAAGUUGGAGGUGAAAUCCCCGGGCUCAACCAGGGAACUGCCUCCAAAACUGCAUGACUAGAGUACGGUAGAGGGUAGUGGAAUUUCCUGUGUAGCGGUGAAAUGCGUAGAUAUAGGAAGGAACACCAGUGGCGAAGGCGACUACCUGGACUGAUACUGACACUGAGGUGCGAAAGCGUGGGGAGCAAACAGGAUUAGAAACCCGAGUAGUCC
rnacentral:rRNA from 1 species